rnacentral:rRNA from 1 species
GACGAACGCUGGCGGCGUGCCUAAUACAUGCAAGUCGAGCGGACGAUUCGAAAGCUUGCUUUUGAAUCGUUAGCGGCGGACGGGUGAGUAACACGUGGGCAACCUGCCCUGUAGACGGGGAUAACACCGAGAAAUCGGUGCUAAUACCGGAUAACACGAAAUGUCGCAUUACGUUUCGUUGAAAGGCGGCGCAAGCUGCCGCUACAGGAUUGGCCCGCGGCGCAUUAGCUAGUUGGUGAGGUAACGGCUCACCAAGGCGACGAUGCGUAGCCGACCUGAGAGGGUGAUCGGCCACACUGGGACUGAGACACGGCCCAGACUCCUACGGGAGGCAGCAGUAGGGAAUCUUCCGCAAUGGACGAAAGUCUGACGGAGCAACGCCGCGUGAGCGAAGAAGGCCUUCGGGUCGUAAAGCUCUGUUGUUAGGGAAGAACAAGUAACGUAGUAACUGACGUUACUAUGACGGUACCUAACGAGAAAGCCACGGCUAACUACGUG